GGAGGAGUACGGUAGCCCGGUAACCGGCCCGCCUGCUAAGCGGGUGGGCGAGUGUUGAGCUCGCCUCGCGGGUUCAAAUCCCGCCUCCUCCGCCA
rnacentral:tRNA from 2 species